ACCGGCGGCUCGAGUGGUGGGCACUAAUAAGGGGCUUAAAGCGUUCGUAGCUGGCUUGUUAAGUCUCUGGGGAAAUCUUCCGGCUCAACCGGAAGGCGUCUCAGGGAUACUGGCAGGCUAGGGACCCGAAGAGGUGAGAAGUACUCCAGGGGUUGGAGGUAAAACCUGUAAACCUUGGGGGACCACCUGUGGCGAAGGCGUCCCACCAGGACCGCCCCCGCAUUUAGGAACGAAAACCUGGGGAGCAAACCG
rnacentral:rRNA from 1 species